UUGUCUCAUAAAUACAAGUGAUGAUGUACAUAACCGUUUAGUCAAUGCAUUUAAGGGUGAACAUCAAUUUGAGGCUGGCAAUAGCUACGCGUCUCAGACUAAAUGUUCUGGUAAAACAAUGGAAUGUUCCAAUAUUUGUAAUGACCUGAAAGAUUGUUCAGCGUUGAAUAACAUGAUAAAUACUUCACAGAACAGCGAAAUGAAAGAAGAUCUGGAAGGAUGUAGUGAUAAUGAAACAGCUGCUGUUAAUUUUAGUACUGCCCCCAAUACAAAAGAUGAGACUUCAAAUAUUGUAUCAGAAAUUAAAGCCGAUAAGACAUUCGUCAUUUUCAUGAAAGAAAAAGAAAGCAGCCGGCCAGAAAUGAAAGCCCACAAGAUCUCUAUAGCGCUUUCAUCUAAAGGAUCUGCUUUUGACAAUUUUGAAAAAUUUACCUUGUAUCCUGACACUGAAGAACUAGAUACAGUUACACUUAUUCGAGAGCUGAAUUCUAGCAACACAGCAAUACAUUAUAAAAAAAAGAGUAGCAAUUCACAAAUCAUUUAUGAUAAUGAUGAUGGAAAAUCAAAUUCAGCUUGCUUGGCUUUCAUAUCAUCGAUUCCUCAUAUAUCAAACCUUGAAACUGAAUCAGUAGAAUAUGGUCACAACACCAAGAAUAAAGCAGAUAAGGAAACCUAUAGUGCAAUUACUAGUCACAAAGAGAAAAUGUGUUCUGAUUUUCUAAGAGGACUGCAAGACAGACCCAAGGAAGAAAAUAAUCUGCGUUGCAUUCAAACCAUUCAAUCUUUAAUCCCUAAAGAUAUCAGGAAGGCAGAUCAAUUACAACACAGUGUGGACCAUGAACAAAUAUGCAAUGAAUCCAAUCUAUAUGGGAAUGAGAAGAAAAGAAAGGAGUUAUCCUAUGAUAUAGUUACUACUUUUCAAAACAACUUGACACAUGGCACGCCUAAGGAGGUAUUAAUGCAAACCGACCAAUCUAAUCGUUCCUGUACAGAUAAUUUAUCUGUUCAAAUGGCCCAAAAAAACAAGAAACAAAAAUCAAAUGAAAAGUGCAUUUCAACAAUAAACACAUCUAUAGACCCAAGCGUUCAGAAUACUCAAUAUAAAACACUCCUUAUAAGUGAUGAUACUGUUGAAAGUGAUUUAGCAAAAAAUAGUCAGAUCCUGAAAGAAGAUAGGAAAUCUUUGGAACUAUCCUGUACUCCAUUUCAAUUAGAAUGUAAGGAAGUUGUUUGCAUUACACAAGACGCUCAAAAACCUUUACAUUUUCAAUUAAAAAAUGUGUAUGAAACAUUUUCAAAGGAAUUCAGUGAGGAUAAAACAUCUGCAAGUUUAAUGACAUUUGAUUCUGGUCACCAAAUACAUAAACCUGGUGGCACAAUUCCAGAAGGAUCAAAAGAAUUGUUUAAACAAAUUGAUUCUGCUACUGGAACAAAUAUGUUUACUGUUGAUCCGAGGCAAUCCAAAGAAGAACAAUUUGCACCUGCGAACAAGAAUCCAUAUUUUGUAAUGAAGGAGCAGUUUAAUGCAGUGUUAGAGGAGCUACGCCUGUUUCAUGAAAUUAGCAAGCAGUCAGAAUGGCCUGUCAGUAUGACUGAAGAAACUGCAGCUGAAACUUCUAACAUGAAAGACCCGCACGAGCUGCAGAGUAAACAUGAUGAAGGACAUUACUUAGGUGUGGUUCCAGAGCGUUAUGAUUCACAACACUUGUUUCCUUCACAUGGAAAAGUUGUUGUAACUCCAAGUGACCAUGAUCGCCACUUAAUAGAGCAAAAUACUUUAGAAUAUACACCUUCAGUUUUAGUGAAGAGAGAUUUGGAUGUGAGAGGAGAGCAAGAGGUACCAAUGGAAGUAGAAGUAUCAGAAGCAGAAAGGGAAGAUUCGUUGUAUUCUCCAUCUAAAGUCUCAGGUGAGUAUGUUUCUAUAGAUAUUAAAAUAUCAUCUGUGAAGGGAAAGUACAUUUUUUUUGAGAAUUGUUAUUUAUGUUAAGUGUAUGGAACGAUCAUGGAAUUGGGAUUAGAAAAGGAAAUAUUGGUUACCAUCUUUUCCUCUUCAGUUGUAUUUAAAUUAUUUUCCUGGUAUGCUUUUAGUUUUGAUUUUAUUGAAGGAAAAUAAAGUAGCUAAGGGAUGAAUUUAGGUGAAUGCAAGUUAUAAAUGCACAUAAAUUAUAAUGCCUUGCUGAUUAUCACAAAUGUGACCAGUUGUACCUGUGCCACUCCCUGUACACCACUAGUGGAAAUCAUCUCUUCAAAACGCCCAAUGUGAGCAUGAAAGAAUGGGCAUCCGCUAGGUUCAGCAGCCCUCCAUCAUGGUUGUGUGUCACUGUUCUCCAAGAGAGCUGAAGAUGGCAUUGGCUGCUCGCGUCUGUCCACUCGCCUGCUCGAGACGCUAGAGGGCAAGUGCACAGACAUGAGCAGGCGAGUGCUAUGGGAACCGGGAAGCAACGGAGAAGAGGAGCAAGACCGGCGAGAAUGCUCACAGGAGCUAAUUCGAGGCCAGCAGGCAAGAGAAUAUAAGAAACAUGAGUCUCGAGAAGUUAAAACAUGGUCA